AGCGGCAGAGGUAUAGACAAACAGACUAUUCUCUCGCCUUUUACUAGAGAAUACCGUGUCCGUACCUCAUCAAAAUGUCGCUUUACCAAUUUUUCAGAAUUCAGCUCCGCCUGAAC
rnacentral:snRNA from 1 species